AACGAACGCUAGCGGCGUGCCUAGCACAUGCAAGUCGUACGAGAAAUCCCGGGCAACUGGGAGAGUAAAGUGGCGCACGGGUGAGUAACGCGUGGGUAAUCUACCUUGGAGUUCGGAAUAACACCUCGAAAGGGGUGCUAAUACCGGAUAUCGUCCCAGGGGUUUCGGCUCCGGGGAUGAAAGGUGGCUGAGGCUUGCAAGCUAUUGCUCCAAGAUGAGCCCGCGUACCAUUAGCUAGUUGGUGGGGUAACGGCCCACCAAGGCAAUGAUGGUUAGCUGGUCUGAGAGGAUGACCAGCCACACUGGAACUGAGAUACGGGCCAGACUCCUACGGGAGGCAGCAGGGAGGAAUCUUGCGCAAUGGGGGCAACCCUGACGCAGCAACGCCGCGUGAGUGAUGAAGGCCUUCGGGUCGUAAAGCUCUGUCAGGCGGAAAGAAUGUUUCCAGGGUGAACAAUCCUGGAGAUUGACGGUACCGCCAGAGGAAGCACCGGCUAACUCCGUGCCAGCCGCCGCGGUAAAAC
rnacentral:rRNA from 1 species